rnacentral:rRNA from 1 species
ACGGAAGGCAGCAGUGGGGGAUAUUGCACAAUGGGGGAAACCCUGAUGCAGCGACGCCGCGUGAGUGAAGAAGUAUUUCGGUAUGUAAAGCUCUAUCAGCAGGAAAGAUAAUGACGGUACCUGACUAAGAAGCACCGGCUAAAUACGUGCCAGCAGCCGCGGUAAUACGUAUGGUGCAAGCGUUAUCCGGAUUUACUGGGUGUAAGGGAGCGUAGACGGCAUGGCAAGCCAGAUGUGAAAGGCAGGGGCUCAACUCCUGGACUGCAUUUGGAACUGUCAAGCUAGAGUAUCGGGGAGGUAAGUGGAAUUCCUAGUGUAGCGGUGAAAUGCGUAGAUAUUAGGAGGAACACCAGUGGCGAAGGCGGCUUGCUGGACGAUAACUGACGUUGAGGCUCGAAAGCGUGGGGAGCAAACAGGAUUAGAUACCCUGGUA